rfam:Triticum urartu cultivar G1812 contig572862, whole genome shotgun sequence.
GACGUACUCCCUCUGUCCGAAAAUACUUGUCAUCAAAAUGAAUAAAAAGGAAUAUAUUUGGAGACAUCCCGUUUUAUUCAUUUUGAUGACAAGAUACAUUCCCUUUUAUUCAUUUUGAUAACAAGUAUUUUUGGAUAGAGGGAGUACAAG